rnacentral:rRNA from 1 species
GCGCAGCAGGCGCGAAUUUUUCACAAUGGGGGAAACCCUGAUGGAGCGACGCCGCGUGGAGGAUGAAGGCGUUUUCGUCGUAAACUCCUGUCAUGCGAGAACAAGAAAGUGAUAGUAUCGCAAGAGGAAGAGGCGGCUAACUCUGUGCCAGCAGCCGCGGUAAUACAGAGGCCUCAAGCGUUGUUCGGAUUCAUUGGGCGUAAAGGGUGCGUAGGUGGCAUGGUAAGUUGAAGGUGAAAUCUCGGAGCUCAACUCCGAAACUGCCCUCAAUACUGCUGUGCUCGAGGACUGUAGAGGAGAAUGGAAUUCACGGUGUAGCAGUGAAAUGCGUAGAUAUCGUGAGGAAGACCAGUGGCGAAGGCGAUUCUCUGGGCAGUUCCUGACACUGAGGCACGAAGGCUAGGGGAGCGAAACAGGAUUAGAUA